CCACAUUUUCCCACUCCAGUCUAUCGUCAAUGGGCAUUUGGGUUGGUUCCAGGUCUUUGCUAUUGUAAACAGUGCUGCAAUAAACAUUUGUGUGCACGUGUCCUUAUAGUAGAACAGUUUAUAGUAUUUUGCAUAUAUACCCAGUAAUGGGAUCGCUGGGUCAAAUGGAAUUUCUAUUUCUAGGUCCUUGAGGAAUCGCCACACUGUCUUCCACAAUGGUUGAACUAAUUUACACUCCCACCAGCAAUGUAAAAGUGUUCCUAUUUCUCCACAUCCUCUCCAGCAUCUGUCUCCAGAUUUUUUAAUGAUCGCCAUUCUAACUGGGUCUCACUCUAUCACCCAGGCAACCAGGCUGGAAUGCAGAAGUAUGGUCAUUGCUCAUUUCAGUCUCAAGCUCCUGGGCUCAAAGGAUCCUCCUACCUCAGCCUCAAGGUAACUGGACUACAGGCACACACCACCACACCUAGCUAAUUAUUUAUUUUUUUAGAGACAGGAUCUGGCUUUGUUGCCCAGUCUGGUCUCAAACUGCUGGCCUCAAGUGAUUCUCCUACCUCAGCCUCCU
rnacentral:lncRNA from 1 species